GCGGGUAUAGCUUAAUGGUAAAGCCCCAGCCUUCCAAGCUGGUUAUGCGGGUUCGAUUCCCGCUACCCGCUCCA
rnacentral:tRNA from 1 species